rnacentral:rRNA from 1 species
GUGUGAUAAGGGAAUCCUGAGUGCUCAUGCUAUGCAUGGGCUUUUGCCAAGAGUAAAUAUCUUGGCGAAUAAGUGGUGGGCAAUACCUGUGCCAGCCGCCGCGGUAAUCCAGGAGCCACAAGUGGCAACCGUAAUUAUUGGGUCUAAAGCGUCCGUAGCCUGCUAUGUCAAUCUUCUGUGAAAUCGUAUCGCUUAACGAAACGGCGUGCAGGAGAUAUUGCAUAGCUAGGGACCGGGAGGCGUAAGAGGUAUUUUGGGGGGAGCGGUAAAAUGCUAUAAUCCUCAAAGGACCACCUGUGGCGAAGGCGUCUUACGAGAACGGAUCCGACGGUGAGGGACGAAAGCUAGGGGAGCAAUCCGGAUUAGAUACCCGAGUAGUCCUAGCCGUAAACGCUGCGAGCUAGGUGUUGCAUAAUCUCCAGGAUUAUGCAGUGUCGAAGCGAAGGUGAUAAGCUCGCCACCUGGGAAGUAUGGUC